AGCAGUCGCCGCGGUAAUACGUAGGUGGCAAGCGUUGUCCGGAAUUAUUGGGCGUAAAGGGCUCGCAGGCGGUUUCUUAAGUCUGAUGUGAAAGCCCCCGGCUCAACCGGGGAGGGUCAUUGGGAACUGGGAAACUUGAGUGCAGAAGAGGAGAGUGGAAUUCCACGUGUAGCGGUGAAAUGCGUAGAGAUGUGGAGGAACACCAGUGGCGAAGGCGACUCUCUGGUCUGUAACUGACGCUGAGGAGCGAAAGCGUGGGGAGCGAACAGGAUUAGAUACCCGAGUAGUCCCUGUCUCUUAUAA
rnacentral:rRNA from 1 species